AUGACAGAAGAGGAUAUUCAAAAAACUGCAUUCGCUACUCACGUGGGAUUGUUUGAGUUUUUUGUUAUGUCCUUUGGACUAACUAAUGGUCCUCCCUCGUUCCAAGCACUAAUGAAUUUACUGUUUGGCCAUCUCAAAUUUGUGGUAGUUUUCUUUGAUGACAUACUGGUGUUCAAUUUUUCAUUAAAGGAACACAAGGACCAUUUGAAGCAGGUGUUUGAUAUUUUAAAAGCAAACAAACUAUAUGCAAAAAUGGAAAAAUGCUCUUUUGGUCAGCAAGAGAUUGAGUACUUAGGUCAUGUGAUUAACUCUGAGGGAGUUUCUACUGACCCAUCUAAGAUACAGUCCAUUAGAAAGUGGCCAACUCCUACUACUGUCACUGAACUAAGGAGUUUUUUGGGGCUAAGUGGAUAUUACAGAAGGUUUAUCCAGGGAUAUGGAGUAAUUUGCAGACCCUUGUUUGACUGCUUGAAGAAGGAUGGUUUUUCUUCGAAGAAAGAGCAACAAGAAGCAUUUGUGACCUUGAAAAACAAGCUUACUAGCACACCUGUGUUAGCACUGCCUGAUUUCUCCAAACCUUUUAUUUUGGAAACUGAUGCUUGUGGAUAUGGACUGGGAGCUGUGUUGAUGCAAGAGGGAAAGCCUAUUUCUUACUUCAGCAAGAGCAUUGGCCCCAAAGCAGCUGCAAUGAGCACUUAUGACAAGGAAGCCUUGGCCAUAAUUGAAGCAGUUAAGAAAUGGAAACAUUAUUUCUUAGCAACAUCCUUAGUGAUCAGAACUGAUCAGGAAAGUCUGAAAUAUAUUCAGGAACAGAAAAUUACACAAGGAAUUCAACAUAAGCUGCUGCUGAAGUUGCUAGGAUAUAAUUUUACAAUUGAGUACAAGAAAGGCAAAGAGAAUAGGGUGGCUGAUGCAUUAUCUAGAGUGAAACAUAUGAUCCAUGCUCUAACUGCAAUUGCCACUUCUCCUACUUUGGUCAAGCAGGUCACAACAAGUUACCAUUUGGAUAAUAAGAUCAAGGAGCUCAUUGCUGAAUGUAUUGUGGACAAAUCUGGUACCUCUGCUUACUCCUUCAAAAAUGGCAUAUUGAGAUUUCAUAACAAGAUUGUAGUGGGAUCUGCUACUACUCUGACACAAGAAAUCCUUCAGAUAUUUCAUAGCUCAGAGUUGGGUGGCCAUUCUGGGGAGAGGGCUACAUACCAGAGAGUGAAGUUAAUUUUUCACUGGCAGGGUUUAAAACAAGAUGUAGUGCAGUUUGUAAAGCAAUGCCCUGUUUGUCAGUUGAACAAAGUUGAGCACACUCCUUAUCCUGGAUUAUUGGAAUCACUUCCUGUGCCUGAUUUUGCUUGGGCCCAUGUGAGCAUGGAUUUUGUGGAAGGGCUGCCUAAGUCUGAACACAAGAAUUUGAUUCUAGUAGUGGUUGACAGAUUCACCAAGUACUCCCACUUCAUUGCUAUGAAACAUCCAAUUACAGUACAAUCUGUUGCAAGAGCAUUUGCUGAUAAUGUGUUCAGGUUGCAUGGAAUGCCCCUAGUAAUUGUCACUGACAGAGACAGAAUUUUUACUAGUCAUCUUUGGCAACAACUGUUCAAGUCCUUGAAAAUCAAAUUGCAUUUGAGCACCAGUUACCACCCUCAAACUGAUGGUCAAACUGAAAGGGUCAACCAGUGUUUGGAGAAUUACUUGAGAUGCAUGUGUUUCCAACAACCCAGGAAGUGGCAUGGGUGGCUAUCCCUAGCUGAGUGGUGGUACAACACCUCCUUCCACACAUCACUUAAGAUGACUCCCUUUCAGGCCCUAUAUGGUUUUCCUCCCCCCAUGAUUGCUGAAUCUGCCUUGCCUGAUGCAAUUUGUGAGGACAAUGAGGAUCUAUUGCAUAACAGAGAAGUGGCACUGGAGGUGAUCAAGCACAAUCUGAUAAAAGCUCAAUCUAGAAUGAAGUUCUUUGCAGAUAAAAAGAGGAAAGAAAGAGAAUUUGUAGUGGGGGACAUGGUCUAUUUGAAGCUGCAACCCUACAGACAUAAUUCUCUCAGCCUGCAUAGGCACAUGAAGUUGCAUUCUAAGUUCUAUGGCCCUUUCAGAGUAAUGGAAAGAAUUGGAAAUCAUGCUUAUAAAUUACUCUUGCCUGAGGGUUGUCAGCUGCAUGACACAUUUCAUGUCAGCCAUCUUAAAAAGCACAUAGGACCAGCAGUUGUCCCUUCCCCUAUACUACCACUAGUUGGUCCUGAUGGAAUCAUCAAGGUGGAGCCUGAAGUUGUGCUGGAAAGAACCCUGGUUCCAAGGAAGCAAGGAAACAUAAGUAUUCCUGUCGUUCGGUGGCUAGUCAAAUGGACCAACAUGCCUGUGGAAGAAGCUACUUGGGAAGACUCUGCAUUCAUUCAGAAGGUUUUUCCCGUCUUUUAG
rnacentral:rRNA from 1 species